rnacentral:rRNA from 1 species
UACAGAGGAUGCAAGCGUUAUCCGGAAUGAUUGGGCGUAAAGCGUCUGUAGGUGGCUUUUUAAGUCCGCCGUCAAAUCCCAGGGCUCAACUCUGGACAGGCGGUGGAAACUACCAAGCUUGAGUACGGUAGGGCAGAGGGAAUUUCCGGUGGAGCGGUGAAAUGCGUAGAGAUCGGAAAGAACACCAACGGCGAAAGCACUCUGCUGGCCGACACUGACACUGAGAGACGAAAGCUAGGGGAGCGAAUGGGAUUAGAC